rnacentral:ncRNA from 1 species
CAAAGGUUUGGUCCUGGCCUUACUAACAAUUUUAACUAAACUUACACAUGCAAGUAUCCGCACCCCUGUGAGAAUGCCCUACAGUUCCCUGCCCGGGAACAAGGAGCUGGUAUCAGGCACGAUUCCCAUUAGCCCACAACACCUUGCUUAGCCACACCCCCAAGGGAACUUCAGCAGUGAUAAACAUUAAGCCAUAAGUGAAAACUUGACUUAGUUAAAGAUAAGAGGGUCGGUAAAACUCGUGCCAGCCACCGCGGUUAUACGAGAGACCCAAGUUGUUAGACACCGGCGUAAAGUGUGGUUAAGAUUCUAAUACAAAGCUAAAGCCGAACAUCUUCAAAGCUGUUAUACGCACCCGAAGGUAAGAAGACCAAUUACGAAGGUAGCUUUAACUCUAUCCGACUCCACGAAAGCCAGGAAACAAACUGGGAUUAGAUACCCCACUAUGCCUGGCCCUAAACAUUGAUAGCAUAAUUCACCAGCUAUCCGCCCGGGUACUACGAGCAUUAGCUUAAAACCCAAAGGACUUGGCGGUGCUUUAGAUCCACCUAGAGGAGCCUGUUCUAGAACCGAUAACCCCCGUUCAACCUCACCCUCCCUUGUCUUACCCGCCUAUAUACCACCGUCGUCAGCUUACCCUGUGAAGGCCCUACAGUAAGCAUAAUUGGCAUAGCCCAAAACGUCAGGUCGAGGUGUAGCGUAUGAGAGGGGAAGAAAUGGGCUACAUUCACUAUCACAGUGUAUACGGAUAACAUAAUGAAACUUAUAAUUGAAGGAGGAUUUAGCAGUAAGCAGAAAAUAGAGUGUUCUGCUGAAUUUGGCCCUGAAGCGCGCACACACCGCCCGUCACUCUCCCCGAGCUUGAUUAUAUAAAAUUACUUAAAUAACUAAAAUUGCAAAGGGGAGGCAAGUCGUAACAUGGUAAGUGUACCGGAAGGUGUACUUGGCAAAAC